GACGAACGCUGGCGGCGUGCUUAACACAUGCAAGUCGAACGGAAAGGCCCUGCUUUUGUGGGGUGCUCGAGUGGCGAACGGGUGAGUAACACGUGAGUAACCUGCCCUUGACUUUGGGAUAACUUCAGGAAACUGGGGCUAAUACCGGAUAUGAGCUCCUGCUGCAUGGUGGGGGUUGGAAAGUUUCGGCGGUUGGGGAUGGACUCGCGGCUUAUCAGCUUUUUGGUGGGGUAGUGGCUUACCAAGGCUUUGACGGGUAGCCGGCCUGAGAGGGUUACCGGCCACAUUGGGACUGAGAUACGGCCCAGACUCCUACGGGAGGCAGCAGUGGGGAAUAUUGCACAAUGGGCGGAAGCCUGAUGCAGCAACGCCGCGUGCGGGAUGACGGCCUUCGGGUUGUAAACCGCUUUCGCCUGUGACGAAGCGUGAGUGACGGUAAUGGGUAAAGAAGCACCGGCUAACUACGUG
rnacentral:rRNA from 1 species